AUAAGAAAGUGCAAGAUCAAUGACAGAAACAAUGAUUACAGCGAAUUAUUUAAUUAUUCCUUCACAGACAUUGCACUACGCACAGACCGAGAAAGCAAAAUGAGGACACCAACCGUCGCUGGGAAGGAAUGGGAAUGUGAAAAGGUGUCAGGGUAGUGAGGUGGUCUGAGGUCGAUCUCUCUCUCUCUCUCUGUUGCUAAGCCUAUUAUGCUGGCCUCCCUCGGGAUCUUACUUUGUUUCUUGAUUUGAAUUAAAUUAAUUGAUUAAGGAUCCAGAAAUGGUGGUAUCGGAUGGCCCCAUCAUCAGCGUUGGACAGGUUGCGUUUUUUCUGGGAAUUAUUCCCAUUUUUGUGGCAUGGAUAUAUUCGGAGUUCCUAGAGUACAAGAAAACUUCAUCCCUUUCCAAACUGUGAGUUUAAUCAA